rnacentral:rRNA from 1 species
UACGAAGGGGGCUAGCGUUGCUCGGAAUCACUGGGCGUAAAGCGCACGUAGGCGGACUCUUAAGUCGGUGGUGAAUCCUGGAGCUCAACUCCAGAACUGCCUUCGAUACUGGGAGUCUCGAGUUCGGGAGAGGUGAGUGGAACUGCGAGUGUAGAGGUGAAAUUCGUAGAUAUUCGGCAAGAACACCAGUGGCGAAGGCGGCUCACUGGCCCGAUACUGCGCUGAG